rnacentral:rRNA from 1 species
UACGGAGGGUGCAAGCGUUGUCCGGAUUUAUUGGGUUUAAAGGGUGCGUAGGCGGCUAUCUAAGUCAGUGGUGAAAUCCUGCAGCUCAACUGUAGAACCGCCAUUGAUACUGGAUAGCUUGAGUACAGACGAGGUAGGCGGAAUUUAUGGUGUAGCGGUGAAAUGCAUAGAUACCAUAAAGAACACCUAUUGCGAAGGCAGCUUACUAGGCUGUAACUGACGCUGAGGCACGAAAGCGUGGGGAU